rnacentral:rRNA from 1 species
CCUACGGGUGGCAGCAGUCGAGAAUCAUUCACAAUGGGGGAAACCCUGAUGGUGCGACGCCGCGUGGGGGAAUGAAGGUCUUCGGAUUGUAAACCCCUGUCAUGUGGGAGCAAAUGAAAAAGAUAGUACCACAAGAGGAAGAGACGGCUAACUCUGUGCCAGCAGCCGCGGUAAUACAGAGGUCUCAAGCGUUGUUCGGAACCACGGGGCGUAAAGGGUGCGGAGGCGGUUUCGUAAGUCGGGUGUGAAAGGCGCGGGCUCAACCCGCGGACGGCACGUGAUACUGCGAGACUAGAGUGAUGGAGGGGGAACCGGAAUUCUCGGUGUAGCAGUGAAAUGCGUAGAUAUCGGGAGGAACACUCGUGGCGAAGGCGGGUUCCUGGACAUUAACUGACGCUGAGGCACGAAGGCCAGGGGAGCGAAAGGGAUUAGAUACCCCUGUAGUC